UGGAAAAUAAAUAUUUAUCUAAGUGUACACAUUUCUUCUAUUCUUCCAGCAGAAACCUAAUUUGCAACUCAGACAAGUUAACAAAACUCUGAUUUGUGGGAAUAGAGUUGCCCUGGAGAUAGGUAAUGCUCUAAAUAACACACAGGAUCUCAAAAGAAGCUGACAAAAUGAACAACUGAUCAGGCUGUAUAUUCGGAUGCUGGUUCUUGGCUCCUAGAGAAGAGGAGCUGCUCAGAUGGUCAGUGUUGCUCUGAAAUAUGCGGGGUAGUGGAUGCCACCCUCCCAUCACCAUCACCUGAUGGACCUACACUCCGACAUCCUCGCUCAGCUCCUGUUCCUGGGCAACCUAACAGUCUACUAGACGAUAAACCACCCCCUGGGGAAAGACCAUCUAGUUAAUCCUGGAACCAUCAUCAGCCAGGAUGAAGAUGCCCCGCCCCCCAAUGGCCCAAAACACAGAAAACCAGAACACGAAGAUCUAUUUUAUUAGGAG
rnacentral:lncRNA from 12 species